CGUGGGUCUGCCCUGGGAGCCACUGUAGGUCGUCCAAACGGGCGGCAGCCGCGCAACGCAGUGGGAUCCUACAGCCCGAGACUCGCGACGAU
ncrna:unclassified sequences DTF3800-VII RNA